rnacentral:rRNA from 1 species
GACAGAGGAUGCAAACGUUGCUCGGAAUUACUGGGCGUAAAGCGCGCGCAGGCGGUCUUGUAAGUCAGGUGUGAAAUCCCGGGGCUCAACCUCGGAAGUGCACUUGAUACUGCUCGACUGGAGUACUGGAGAGGAGAGCGGAAUUCCCGGUGUAGAGGUGAAAUUCGUAGAUAUCGGGAGGAACACCAGUGGCGAAGGCGGUCUGCUGGGCAGUUGCUGACACUGAGGCGCGACAGCGUGGGGAGCAAACAGG